rnacentral:lncRNA from 1 species
GCCAAAGUUAGAGACAGAGCACAUGCAGAGGAGCGUGCAAGCCACUUCAUACUCAUAUCUGCAGUGAAUGUCAAGGUGAUUUUCUCUGUUUUCUUCUGUGCUUUGAUUACUCUAAAUUAAUUCCUGCACUGCUACCGGGAAACAAAGGCUAACCACCCAUUAAACAAACCUGCUGUGCUGCUCCUAAGAGACACACAUUAUCUUUGUCCAACCAAGUUCUUUUAAUGCAAACACUAACACAUUUUUGCUCUCGAGCAAGAUUUUUCCUUUAAAUUGUGUUGUAAUCUUAGUACUGCUUCAAUUAUAAGAAGUCUUGUUCCUUUUCAUCAUACCAUGUUUGAAUUAGUACAGAUGUAUUAAUGAUGCAAAAGAAGAAUUAAUUGAGAGAGAUUCUUCAUUUUGCUUUACAUAUAUUUUUUGUGGUGUUCUUUCAUUCUUCCUAAAUUUAGAGGUGGAGGGUCAGUUUUUUCCUUUUUAAUUAUUAAAUUAGGUGGUUAAGUUUAUCAGUGUUUUUUUUUUUUCUCUCUCAGGUUGGUGGAUUGGCAAUUUGUCCUUUGAGAUUAGGAGACCACAAUGAUGAAACAUGAAAAAUCAUUGAUUCAUUAUUGUGGUACAUGUUACAUGUUAACAUUUGAUUGUUUCCACAAGCAAAAGGGUGUUAGAACAUAAGCAAAACUCAAGAUCAUGUCAAUCCAAACCAGCAUGGAAACAUUCCUGAGAUGAGGUGAAGCAACUUUGCAGUCUAUUUAUGUAGUCUUGCAUGCAAAAUCCAUUCCCACCUAAUAAGAGAAAAAAAAGUGAUGGAAUGAACAUGACUCAUGGCUUCAAUUGUUUAUCAUAAAAGAACACGAUGUAAACAUAUGCAGUUCAGCACACACAUCUAUAAAACAACAUAUAUUAAUGACAACUUGCAACAGCACUUGUUUCUUAUUAAAAAAAUUCAAACAUAUUAAUUAGUACAUGAUUUAACAUGAACAUGACACAGUUUGGUAUCCAUUCUCUAAAACAUGCAACACAGAAUACGAAAUUAUAACCACUGUAUCAGUCAACAACUCAAUUAUUACUGUUAAAACCACUGUAUAAUUUGACUCAUAAUCUAAUGAAAACAAAACCUUAACUAAUCUAAGUAAUAUUUUUUAAAUGAAUUAUACACAUAUAGCUUUUAAUUUACUGACAAAAGCCUCAGUUUUUCUUCUAUAACCAUUGCUAAAGGGUUAUAAUUCACUUUUGUACCUGUAUGAAUAUUGGGGUUGAGCAAUGUUGAUCCAGUCGAUACACAAUGAUUAUCGUGUCCUUAGCUGUCCUAUUCUUCAAGUUUUCCUUCCUCUUCGCGUGCUUCGACCGGUUGGCGGGGUACCUACGAUUGAACUCCGACGCUCAAGUCAGCGAUGAUGCUCAAUGAGAAUUCUCUGAUAUUAUGAAAACAUACCUUUUCCCCUUUCAGAAAUCCUUUUAGUAGGUUGACUUGAGCCUUGGCCAUGUGGGUCAAGCAACUGAUGGCUAG